rnacentral:rRNA from 1 species
AGAGAUUGAACAUAAGAGUUUGAUCCUGGCUCAGAUUGAACGCUGGCGGCAUGCUUUACACAUGCAAGUCGGACGGCAGCACAGAGAAGCUUGCUUCUCGGGUGGCGAGUGGCGAACGGGUGAGUAACAUAUCGGAACGUACCGAGUAGUGGGGGAUAACUGAUCGAAAGAUCAGCUAAUACCGCAUACGUCUUGAGAGAGAAAGCAGGGGACUUUCGGGCCUUGCGCUAUUCGAGCGGCCGAUAUCUGAUUAGCUAGUUGGUGGGGUAAAGGCCUACCAAGGCGACGAUCAGUAGCGGGUCUGAGAGGAUGAUCCGCCACACUGGGACUGAGACACGGCCCAGACUCCUACGGGAGGCAGCAGUGGGGAAUUUUGGACAAUGGGCGCAAGCCUGAUCCAGCCAUGCCGCGUGUCUGAAGAAGGCCUUCGGGUUGUAAAGGACUUUUGUCAGGGAAGAAAAGGCUGUUGCUAAUAUCAGCGGCUGAUGACGGUACCUGAAGAAUAAGCACCGGCUAACUACGUGCCAGCAGCCGCGGUAAUACGUAGGGUGCGAGCGUUAAUCGGAAUUACUGGGCGUAAAGCGGGCGCAGACGGUUACUUAAGCAGGAUGUGAAAUCCCCGGGCUCAACCCGGGAACUGCGUUCUGAACUGGGUGACUCGAGUGUGUCAGAGGGAGGUAGAAUUCCACGUGUAGCAGUGAAAUGCGUAGAGAUGUGGAGGAAUACCGAUGGCGAAGGCAGCUCCUGGGACAACACUGACGUUCAUGCCGAAA